GAGCACUUGAUACUAACCGAGCCAUCCGUGUCCCAGGUCUCGUGCAGAGGUCUGAGGUACACCUCAUGAUUGCUGGGUCUGAAAAGUGCAACACUAAAACAAGCCAUGAAGUGUUUAAGCUCAGUGUACAAAGGAUGACACUGGGUUAUAACUCAGAGGCACAGAG
rfam:Leptosomus discolor contig50877, whole genome shotgun sequence.